CAGUUCGGAUUGUAGUCUGCAACCCGACUACAUGAAGCUGGAAUCGCUAGUAAUCGCGGAUCAGAAUGCCGCGGUGAAUACGUUCCCGGGUCUUGUACACACCGCCCGUCACACCAUGGGAGUCGGAAAUGCCCGAAGUCAGUGACCCAACCGUAAGGAGGGAGCUGCCGAAGGUGGAGCCGGUAACUGGGGCGAAGUCGUAACAAGGUAUC
rnacentral:rRNA from 1 species